UAGAAUUUUAUAUUGCUACAUUUUAAUACUUAAUAUAAAAUAUGUAGUAAUAUUUGGUUGGGAGGACUAUUAAAUUUGAUUAACUUUAAUUUUUGAUUACUUUGAUUUAAGAAAGUACAAUGAUCUUUAAAUUAAAAUAUCUAGAUUAAAUUACCUUAGGGAUAACAGCGUAAUAUUUUUUUAUAGAUCGUAUAGAAAAAAGUGAUUGCGACCUCGAUGUUGAAUUAAGAUAAAUUUUAAACGCAGGAGUUUAA
rnacentral:rRNA from 1 species